rnacentral:misc_RNA from 1 species
UCCGGUUUGACACCGGCAGUCUCGCUAGAGUACCCGGCAUUACCCGCUGGCAACUAGCGACAAGGGUUGCGCUCGUUAAGGGACUUAACCCGACACUUCACAGCACGAGCUGACGACAGCCAUGCAGCACUUGUGCUCGUUCCACCCUUGCGGGUGUGGCCCCUGUUUCCAGGGGUUAAUCCAAGCAUGUCAAGCCCAGGUAAGGUUCUUCGCGUUGCUUCGAAUUAAGCAACAUGCUCCACCGCUUGUGUGAGCCCCCGUCAAUUCCUUUGAGUUUUAGCCUUGCGACCGUACUCCCCAGGCGGCACACUUAUCAAUUUCUCUGCGACCAGAACGACGUCAGAGCCGCUCCGGUCUAGUGUGCAUCGUUUAGGGCGUGGACUAC